CAGUCGCCACGGAAUACGAAGGGUGCAAGCGUUACUCGGAAUUACUGGGCGUAAAGCGUGCGUAGGUGGUGGUUUAAGUCCGUUGUGAAAGCCCUGGGCUCAACCUGGGAAUUGCAGUGGAUACUGGGUCACUAGAGUGUGGUAGAGGAUAGUGGAAUUUCCGGUGUAGCAGUGAAAUGCGUAGAGAUCGGAAGGAACAUCUGUGGCGAAGGCGACUAUCUGGGCCAACACUGACACUGAGGCACGAAAGCGUGGGGAGCAAACAGGAUUAGAUACCCGUGUAGUCCCUGUCUCUUAUACA
rnacentral:rRNA from 1 species